AUUGAACGCUGGCGGCAGGCUUAACACAUGCUAGUCGAACGAGGGGCGGACGGGUGAGUAAUGUAUGGGGACUGCCCGAUAGAGGGGGAUACCUAAUGGCAACGGUGGCUAAUACCGCAGACUAUCGGAUAACCCUUCUGGGAUUAGCUAGUAGGUGGGGUAAAGGCUUACCUAGGCGACGAUCGCUAGAUGGUCGGAGAGGAUGCUCAGCCACACUGGGACUGAGACACGGCCCAGACUCCUCCGGAGGCAGCAGUGUGGAAUAUUGCACAAUGGGCGCAAGCCUGAUUCAGCCAUGCCGCGUGAAUGACGAAGGCCUUCGGGUUGUAAAGUUCUUUCGGUAGCGAUGCGUUAACUACAGAAGAAGCACCGGCUAACGCCGUGCCAGCAGCCGCGGUAAUAC
rnacentral:rRNA from 1 species